GGCAAGAUGGCCGAGCGGUCUAAGGCGCACGGUUCAGGUUUACCUGAUCCUCAGAGAUCUUCUAUAAGAUUUCCGUGUCUCGAAAGGGGCGUGGGUUCGAAUCCCACUCUUGUCA
rfam:Penicillium steckii strain IBT 24891 PENSTE_contig003, whole genome shotgun sequence.